AUUGAACGCUGGCGGCAGGCCUAACACAUGCAAGUCGAACGAGUGGCGGACGGGUGAGUAAUGUCUGGGAAACUGCCCGAUGGAGGGGGAUAAAUACUGGAAACGGUAGCUAAUCCCUCAUACCAUCGGAUUUGCCCAGAUGGGAUUAGCUAGUAGGUGGGGUAACGGCUCACCUAGGCGACGAUCCCUAGCGGGUCUGAUAGGAUGACCUGCCACACUGGAACUGAGACACGGUCCAGAAUCCUACGGGAGGCAGAAGUGGGGAAUAUUGCACAAUGGGCGCAAGACUGAUGCAGCCAUGCCGCGUGUAUGAAGAAGGCCUUCGGGUUGUAAAGUACUUUCAGCGAGGAGGCGUUACUCGCAGAAGAAGCACCGGCUAACUCCGUGCCAGCAGCCGCGGUAAUUC
rnacentral:rRNA from 1 species